UAAAAAAGAACAGUACUAGUAGGCUGGAUGUAACCUCAUAACAAUAUGUAGAUGUCCAAUCAUUAUCUUUUUGUUGAAUAUUUAACAGAAAAAGGAUAGAGUAAAAUUUAUUUGAGAAUGAAAUUUGUAAGGAAACAUAGGGUUGUUACUUGUGGUAAAUUAGGAAGUGAUUUGGUAGGUUAUCUCUUUUAGAAUAGUUGUUAGUAAAAUACUUAACAAAAAGAAUCAAGCGGUUAGGGAGAUGAAGACUUUCCAACUAAACAAUAUAGAAAAUGAGCAAAGCAAAUUCCCCAUCUUUGUAACCACUUUUGUACUUUUCAUUCCCUUCCCUGUAUAGUUCCUGGAAAGCCUAACCACUAUUAAUUAUUAUUAUUAUUCUUAAUAUAAUGAUAAAGAUUAAUUUAAUAUCAACGGUUGAGGUCAUGUAUUUAUUUAAGGCCAGCCUGGAUGAAGGGUUGAAUCCACUGCCAACCCGAAAUAGAUCCUCUGAUUUUAUUGUGAGAACGACUCUCUAACUUUCAGUUAUUUUGGUCCGUUUGAUUCAUCGGACCAUUGUAAUCAUGCCACGUGGAAACUCUUUAAUUUUUUAAACAAAAACAUAAUAACACAAUAUGUUAAGGGUUGAACGAGUUUUCAUCACAUACCCAUUUGGCCUUCAUUCGCGAACGGUCCACUGCUGAUCGUCGCGAUUACCGUCUUUACCACGCCGUUGAGCCGUCGUCGACAAGAAACCGUCUCAGACUCUCAGUGUUGCUUGCUCCUACUUUCUUCAAGGUUUGUUUGUAGUAAGGAAGGAUUACAAAAGUCCGACAAGAGAGAUGCUUUUAUUACCAACCACAGAGCGAGAUAAAUGAUUGCAAUGCAAGAACUUGUCUUUCAUUAAAGAAUGAAAAAUGUGUCAUCCAUAAAUUUGUAAAGGACCAUAACCACCCUCUACAACUAAGACAAUACAUAUGCUACCAUCACACAAAAAAAUAACUGAAGUUCAAGUUUAUGAGAUUGAUCUAGCUAAUGACUCUUUUUUAAGACAGAAGUCAACGUUCCAACUUAUGAGCACACAGGUAGGGCACAAAGCUAAUCUUGGAUAUACACAUUUGGAUGUAAAAAAUUACCUAAAAGCAAAAAGACAAAGAAGUAUGGUGUAGCCAGAUAUCUUUCCCAAUAUUUUCAGCAGAAAUUGUUGAAGAAUCCAUAUUUCUUUCAUGCAUAUCAGAUGGAUAUAGAAGAACAAAUCACCAAUGUGUUUUGGUGUGAUGCAAAUAUGGUGUUGGAUUAUGAAUAUUUUUGUGAUGUUUCGUCAUUAGAUACUACCUAUUGUACCAACCAUGCGCAUAUGCCACUUGCUCUAUUUUAUGGUUUCAACCACUAUAAGGGUUCAAUCAUUUUUGGUGCAGCACUAUUAUAUAAUUGAGUCAUUUAAAUGUUUGUUUGAGACAUUCUUACAAACACACAACUACAACAAACCAAGGAUUGUCUUUACUAACCAAGAUGAUGCAAUGUCUAGGGCACUUUUCGAAGUGAUGCUUGAGACAUACCAUGGUUUAUGCACUUGACAUUUGUUGCAGAAUGAGGUUUAGCACCUUGGAAACUUGAUGAAAGUAGGACGUCAGUUUUUAGAGAUUUCAAGAAAUGUAUGUAUGACUUUGACACUGAAGCAUAUUUUGAGAAAGCUUGGACCAACUUGGUUGACCAAUAUAAUGUUCAUGAAAAUAAAUGGAUAAAAUUAGUGUAUGUAAUAAAAAGAAAAUGGUCCUCUUGUUACAUGAAGGUAGCAUUCACACUUGGCAUGAGAAGUACUCAACUUAGUGAUCUUUGAAUUCUCACGUCAAAUUUUGUAUGAAACCAAAUUUGGAUAUUAUAGAACUCUUCAGACCCUUUGAACGAGUUGUUGAUGAAAAGAGAGGCAAUGGGUUAACUUGUGAAUAUGAGUCCCUACAUUAACUUGCUAGAUUAAGAUAUAAGUUGUCACUGAUACUAAUACAAAUGUCAAAAGCAUACUCACAUAAUGUAUUUGAUUUGUUUCA